rnacentral:sRNA from 1 species
ACAAUGUAGGCAAGGGAAGUC